AGGGGUGUAGCUCAGUUGGCCAGAGCGCCGGUCUCCAAAACCGGAUGCCGCAGGUUCGAUUCCUGCCACCCCUGCCA
rnacentral:tRNA from 2 species